GCCGGUACGGCGAGUGUAGCGCAUAGCUCAAUUUGAAAUCGGGCUUGUGGAUUCCCGUUAGUCCGAGUUGUAAUUUGCAGAGGGUGCUUUAGUGUGGGGGGACGCUAAAAUUCCUUGGGACAGGUACCAUGGAGGGGGGAAAUCCCGUAUGUCGGGUGCCCGGCCUACACUAUGUAAGGCCCCCUCGAAGAGUCGCGUUGUUUGGGAAUGCAGCGCUAAGAGGGAGGUAAAUUUCUUCUAAAGCUAAAUCUGGCCAGAGACCGAUAGCGCACAAGUAGAGUGAUCGAAAGAUGAAAGCACUUUGGAAAGAGAGGGAAAUAGCACGUGAAAUUGUUGAAAGGGAAGCGCUUGCAGCCAGACAUGCCUGCGGUUGCUCAGCUAGGCAUUUUUAGCCUGGUGCACUCUUCCGUGGCAGGCCAGCAUCAGUUUGGGCGGUUGGAGAAUGGCCUCUGUCAUGUAUCUUCCUUUGGGAUGACCUUAUAGGGGAGGUGUAAAUGCAGCCAGCCCAGACUGAGGUCUGCGCAGUCUUCUGCUAGGAUGCUGGGCAUAAUGGUGGCAAGCCGGCCCGUCUUUGAAACACGGACCAAGGAGNCUAACAUCCAUGCGAGUGUUUGGGUGUCAAGGCCCGGGCGCGCAAUGAAAGUAAAUGGAGGUGGGAUCCCCUUGGGGUGCACCAUCGACCGAUCCCUGAUGUCUUCGGAUGGAUUUGAGUAAGAGCAUGGCUGUUGGGCCCCGAAAGAUGGUGAACUAUGCUUGAAUAGGGUGAAGCCAGAGGAAACUCUGGUGGAGGCUCGCAGCGGUUCUGACGUGCAAAUCGAUCGUCAAAUUUGGGCAUAGGGGCGAAAGACUAAUCGAACCAUCUAGUAGCUGGUUCCUGCCCGAAGUUUCCCUCAGGAUAGCAGUAACAAGAUCCAGUUUUAUGAGGUAAAGCGAAUGAUUAGAGGCCUGGGGGUUGAAAAUAACCUUCACCUAUUCUCAAACUUUAAAUAUGUAAGAAGUCUCUGUUGCUUUAGUGAACGGGGACACUUGAAUGGAUUGUUACUAGUGGGCCAUUUUUGGUAAGCAGAACUGGCGAUGCGGGAUGAACCGAACGCGGGGUUAAGGUGCCAGAAUGCACGCUCAUCAGACACCACAAAAGGUGUUAGUUCAUCUAGACAGCAGGACGGUGGCCAUGGAAGUCGGAAUCCGCUAAGGAGUGUGUAACAACUCACCUGCCGAAUGAACUAGCCCUGAAAAUGGAUGGCGCUUAAGCGUGUUACCUAUACCCCACCCCCACGGCAGACAUUAUGCCGCGGCGAGUAGGCAGGCGGGCGCUCUAG
rnacentral:rRNA from 1 species